GUACAUACCUAGGGUUUGUAGCAUUAUGGUUUCAAGUAAAACCAGUUCUUGAGUUUGUUGAAGAUAAGCCUCACACUUAUAUCCAGCA